GAUGAACGCUGGCGGCGUGCUUAACACAUGCAAGUCGAACGAAGCACUUUAUUUGAUUUCCUUCGGGACUGAUUAUUUUGUGACUGAGUGGCGGACGGGUGAGUAACGCGUGGGUAACCUGCCUUGUACAGGGGGAUAACAGUUGGAAACGGCUGCUAAUACCGCAUAAGCGCACAGCAUCGCAUGAUGCAGUGUGAAAAACUCCGGUGGUAUAAGAUGGACCCGCGUUGGAUUAGCUAGUUGGUGAGGUAACGGCCCACCAAGGCGACGAUCCAUAGCCGACCUGAGAGGGUGACCGGCCACAUUGGGACUGAGACACGGCCCAAACUCCUACGGGAGGCAGCAGUGGGGAAUAUUGCACAAUGGACGAAAGCCUGAUGCAGCGACGCCGCGUGAGCGAAGAAGUAUUUCGGUAUGUAAAGCUCUAUCAGCAGGGAAGAUAAUGACG
rnacentral:rRNA from 1 species